rnacentral:rRNA from 1 species
GACAGAGGUCCCAAGCGUUAGGCGGAAUCACUGGGCUUAAAGCGUGUGUAGGCGGAUGCCUAAGUACCUUGUGAAAUCCCACGGCUCACCCGUGGAACUGCUUGGUAUACUGGGUGUCUUGAGCCACUUAGGGGCUACCGGAACAAAUGGUGGAGCGGUGAAAUGCGUAGAUAUCAUUUGGAACGCCAAUGGUGAAAACAGGUAGCUGGGAGUGUGCUGACGCUGAGACGCGAAAGCUAGGGGAGCGAACAGG